rnacentral:lncRNA from 1 species
UCAAAGCUCGAAAAGCUGGAAAAUGAUCAAUUGGGUCGGCAGUAAUAAGGAAAUCGUGACAUGCAUUGAAGAAAUGAUCGGAUCUAGAUCUAGAAAUUUGGGGGAGCUGACCUUGAAGGAGAGGGGAAGCGAGGAAGAGGAGAGCGAGAGAGAGAAUCCAAAAGCUGUUGAUGGAAGCCAUAGUGGAAGGUGUUGGUUUCAGAAUUUGCAGAUGAAAAUGAGAAGUGUUGAUUUUCAACGAUGAAAACCAGAGAUAUGUAAUAGAAUAGAAACAUAGGGUUUGGUUUUGAGAAAAAGCAGGUUCCAUGAACGACUUUUAACGAUGUCGUUUUGGUUAUACGAGAUUAGUGUUUUCUCUCAAUGCUCGCUUAGAUGUCUGGUUUAACGCUUUUCAUUGGUCGUUAUUGCGUGGCACUUGCUGACUCACUUAUCCUUAUGACUCAGAUCCCAAAUAUUAUGUUUUUCUUUAAAAUAAUUUUUUUAGCUUAUUUUAGUUUAAUUAAUAUGACAACCAAAUCACCGCAUGACAUGUAGGAUAAUCUGUUACAUUUACUUCAAAUUUUAAUUAAAACAAAAGUAUAUUUUCUGAUUAUGAGAAAUUUAAUAAGAUGUUUGUACAAACAAACUUUACAUCAAUGUUGUGUGCUCCUAGCAUAACCACAUCAUUUAGAAUAUUUCUUUAUGGUGAUCAUCUAAAUUUUUAACUUUUCUAAAGUGAGUCUCACUUUAUAGUGUUAUAAAAGUCAUCAUUGAGUUGUUUUAUUAAUUUUUCAAGAUAUGUAAUCACUAAUAAUAGUUGAGAUGAUUUAUUUUAUCCUUGAGUCAAAUUCAUGCAUUGCUUUUGAUGACAUUGUUGUUGGUAUUUACCCUUUUACAUUAUUUCUAUCCAAACAAAAAAUUUCAUUUACAUUCUGUUUUUGACAUGUUUUCGCAUUUAUAAAUGUGAAAUGUAUAAUUUGUAACAAAAGAAUAGGUUAUGAAUCCUAUUGUGGAUCACCAGACAGAACGAUUCUUACAUCUUGCGCUAUUUUUUGGAAAUACGCUUAUUGUUUCAAUUCCCGGAGCAGAGGUGAAGGUCUCACCACCAUAGUCUUGAGCAUCAUCACCAACGAUGCCAAUAUCACUCGCUUCGUCAGUGGCAUCCACAGCUCCAUCAGAGUCAGAUUGGCACAUAGCAACUAGCAAAUAGAAAAAACCACAAUUAACCAUUGCCAUGCAUGAAAGCACAAUCAUCAAAUUAUUAGCUAGAUCCAAUAGGGCAGAUAAAGUGAUGAAUCAAGUUGCAUGCCAUCUUGUCACCCCCUUCAAACCCAGUAUUUCGAACCAUUAUGAAAUCAAGAAUUCAAUAUAAAAUCCAAUCUAGAAUCUAUUUAAAUGCAACUGAGUGCUUUCAGGUUCAACAAUUGGUCCCAAAUUGACAAAAUACCCAUAUAAUUUCAAAAAUUAAGAGCACUGUAAAGCAGAUCAAAGCUCGAAAAGCUGGAAAAUGAUCAAUUGGGUCGGCAGUAAUAAGGAAAUCGUGACAUGCAUUGAAGAAAUGAUCGGAUCUAGAUCUAGAAAUUUGGGGGAGCUGACCUUGAAGGAGAGGGGAAGCGAGGAAGAGGAGAGCGAGAGAGAGAAUCCAAAAGCUGUUGAUGGAAGCCAUAGUGGAAGGUGUUGGUUUCAGAAUUUGCAGAUGAAAAUGAGAAGUGUUGAUUUUCAAC